AGGUGAAACUGCAGAUAGACCAGCCGAGAGUCACUCUCAUCCGCCUGUGUGAAGCUGUGCGAGGGCUCCAUCUGCUGAACUCAGCUGGCUCCGUGAGAGCAGAGUUUGUUAUUUUGCCCCAUGGAGCACCUGAGAGCGGAGAAACAUCCAGGGGCCGUGCAAGCGUUCCUCACAUUCUGAACCGAAAACCACAUGAACGAGAUAUGCUCACAGAAAACAACACGCCCUUGUUAUAACUGGAAAGUCACAACUGACAUCCCUCUGCAGGCGGCUCUGGGCCAACCGAACAGACUUACCCCGAGCUGGAGCGCAAAAAUAAAACACUUCUCAUUAUGCCAGGGUCAUUCUGAGUAAAACACACACAGUUACAUUUCAUACACAGUCUGACGCAGAAGUGGAAUGUAACACUUGUGUACUAUUUGAGUUUAUUGUACUUUACCAUUUUAUGAUACUUUAGACUUUUUCUCCACUUCAGUUUGGAAGCAGAUUUUCUACUUUUUACUACACUAAAUGUUUAUUAUCACAACUUUACUUUGCAUAUUCACAUUCCUAUUAAGAAGUAGUUUAAAAAACAAACCUUUCUGCUGCAACAUUAAAGUGAUAUACUCAUUACUGCAUCAAUAAUGAUAAUACAAUAAUAUCAUAUAUUGUUAAAUGGGGAAUUCUGAAUGAUACAUUUUUUACCUUUACAUUUGUUGUGCUUUAUCCAUAUUUGAUUGCAGCUCUAUAACUUGUAACAGUAUUUUUAAACUGUGGUGUAACACUCAUCUUGAAGAUUUUCAUUUAAAUAAAUCUACGUUGGUUUGAUUGAUUGGUUUUGGUGGCUAAAAUCCACUUCAAGACACUGGUAC